GUUAGGAAUAUUGGACAAUGGGCGCAAGCCUGAUCCAGCCAUGCCGCGUGAGUGAUGAAGGCCUUCGGGUUGUAAAGCUCUUUAGUCCACGAAUAUAAUGACUGUAGUGGAAGAAUAAGCCCCGGCUAACUUCGUGCCAGCAGCCGCGGUAAUACGAAGGGGGCGAGCGUUAUUCGGAAUCACUGGGCGUAAAGCGUGCGUAGGCUGUUUUGUAAAUCAGAAGUGAAAGCCCAGGGCUUAACCCUGGAAUUGCUUUUGAAACUACAAGACUCGAAUUCGGGAGAGGAUAGCGGAAUUGUCAGUGUAGCAGUGAAAUGCGUAGAUAUUGACAGGAACACCAGUGGCGCAAGCGGCUAUCUGGACCGAUAUUGACGCUGAGGCACGAAAGCGUGGGGAGCAAACAGGAUUAGAAACCCCUGUAGUCC
rnacentral:rRNA from 1 species